rnacentral:rRNA from 1 species
CGGCGUGCUUAACACAUGCAAGUCGAACGGAAAGGCCCUGCUUUUGUGGGGUGCUCGAGUGGCGAACGGGUGAGUAACACGUGAGUAACCUGCCCUUGACUUUGGGAUAACUUCAGGAAACUGGGGCUAAUACCGGAUAGGAGCUCCUGCUGCAUGGUGGGGGUUGGAAAGUUUCGGCGGUUGGGGAUGGACUCGCGGCUUAUCAGCUUGUUGGUGGGGUAGUGGCUUACCAAGGCUUUGACGGGUAGCCGGCCUGAGAGGGUGACCGGCCACAUUGGGACUGAGAUACGGCCCAGACUCCUACGGGAGGCAGCAGUGGGGAAUAUUGCACAAUGGGCGGAAGCCUGAUGCAGCAACGCCGCGUGCGGGAUGACGGCCUUCGGGUUGUAAACCGCUUUCGCCUGUGACGAAGCGUGAGUGACGGUAAUGGGUAAAGAAGCACCGGCUAACUACGUGCCAGCAGCCGCGGUGAUACGUAGGGUGCGAGCGUUGUCCGGAUUUAUUGGGCGUAAAGGGCUCGUAGGUGGUUGAUCGCGUCGGAAGUGUAAUCUUGGGGCUCAACCCUGAGCGUGCUUUCGAUACGGGUUGACUUGAGGAAGGUAGGGGAGAAUGGAAUUCCUGGUGGAGCGGUGGAAUGCGCAGAUAUCAGGAGGAACACCAGUGGCGAAGGCGGUUCUCUGGGCCUUUCCUGACGCUGAGGAGCGAAAGCGUGGGGAGCGAACAGGCUUAGAUACCCUGGUAGUCCACGCUGUAAACGGUGGGUACUAGGUGUGGGGUCCAUUCCACGGGUUCCGUGCCGUAGCUAACGCUUUAAGUACCCCGCCUGGGGAGUACGGCCGCAAGGCUAAAACUCAAAGGAAUUGACGGGGCCCCGCACAAGCGGCGGAGCAUGCGGAUUAAUUCGAUGCAACGCGUAGAACCUUACCUGGGUUUGACAUGGAUCGGGAGUGCUCAGAGAUGGGUGUGCCUCUUUUGGGGUCGGUUCACAGGUGGUGCAUGGCUGUCGUCAGCUCGUGUCGUGAGAUGUUGGGUUAAGUCCCGCAACGAGCGCAACCCUUGUUCACUGUUGCCAGCACGUUAUGGUGGGGACUCAGUGGAGACCGCCGGGGUCAACUCGGAGGAAGGUGGGGAUGACGUCAAGUCAUCAUGCCCCUUAUGUCCAGGGCUUCACGCAUGCUACAAUGGCUGGUACAGAGAGUGGCGAGCCUGUGAGGGUGAGCGAAUCUCGGAAAGCCGGUCUCAGUUCGGAUUGGGGUCUGCAACUCGACCUCAUGAAGUCGGAGUCGCUAGUAAUCGCAGAUCAGCAACGCUGCGGUGAAUACGUUCCCGGGGCUUGUACACACCGCCCGUCAAGUCAUGAAAGUUGGUAACACCCGAAGCCGGUGGCCUAACCGUUGUGGGGGAGCCGUCGAAGGUGGGACUGGUGAUUAGGACUAAGU